CCUACGGGUGGCAGCAGUGGGGAAUAUUGGACAAUGGGGGCAACCCUGAUCCAGCCAUGCCGCGUGUGUGAAGAAGGCCCUCGGGUUGUAAAGCACUUUCAGUGAGGAAGAACGCCUGGUGGUUAAUACCCAUCAGGAAAGACAUCACUCACAGAAGAAGCACCGGCUAACUCCGUGCCAGCAGCCGCGGUAAUACGGAGGGUGCGAGCGUUAAUCGGAAUUACUGGGCGUAACGCGCGCGUAGGUGGCUUGAUAAGCCGGUUGUGAAAGCCCCGGGCUCAACCUGGGAACGGCAUCCGGAACUGUCAAGCUAGAGUGCAGGAGAGGAAGGUAGAAUUCCCGGUGUAGCGGUGAAAUGCGUAGAGAUCGGGAGGAAUACCAGUGGCGAAGGCGGCCUUCUGGACUGACACUGACACUGAGGUGCGAAAGCGUGGGUAGCAAACAGGAUUAGAUACCCGAGUAGUC
rnacentral:rRNA from 1 species